AUGGCCUGGACUCCUCUGCUCCUCGCGCUCCUCUCUCUCUGCACAGGGUCCCUCUCCCAGCCUGUGCUGACUCAGCCGCCCUCCCUCUCUGCCUCUCCGGGAGCCACAGCCAGACUCACCUGCACCCUGAGCAGCGACCUCAGUGUUGGUGGUAAAAACAUAUACUGGUACCAGCAGAAGCCAGGGAGCCGUCCUGGGUAUCUUCUGUACUACUAUUCAAGUACGAAUUUAGGAACUGGGGUCCCCAGCCGCUUCUCUGGGUCCAAAGACGCCUCGGCCAAUGCGGGGCUCCUGCUCAUCUCGGGGCUGCAGCCUGAGGACGAGGCUGACUAUUACUGCGCUACAGCUCAUGGCAGGAGGAUCUAG